GGGCCCGCACAAGCGGCGGAGCAUGUGGAUUAAUUCGAUGCAACGCGAAGAACCUUACCAAGGCUUGACAUGGACCGGAUCGCCGCAGAAAUGUGGUUUCUCCUUUGGGGCCGGUUCACAGGUGGUGCAUGGUUGUCGUCAGCUCGUGUCGUGAGAUGUUGGGUUAAGUCCCGCAACGAGCGCAACCCUCGUUCGAUGUUGCCAGCGCGUUAUGGCGGGGACUCAUCGAAGACUGCCGGGGUCAACUCGGAGGAAGGUGGGGAUGACGUCAAAUCAUCAUGCCCCUUAUGUCUAGGGCUGCAAACAUGCUACAAUGGCCGGUACAAAGGGCUGCGAUACCGCGAGGUGGAGCGAAUCCCAAAAAGCCGGUCUCAGUUCGGAUUGGGGUCUGCAACUCGACCCCGUGAAGUUGGAGUCGCUAGUAAUCGCAGA
rnacentral:rRNA from 1 species